CUCUACACCCACACCACCUUGAACACACCUGAUCUUGUCUGAUCUCAGGAAGUAAGCAGGGUCGGGCCUGGUUAGCACUUGGAUGGGAGAAAAAGGGAGUACUGUGG
rnacentral:rRNA from 1 species